rnacentral:rRNA from 1 species
CUUGCAACUAUAAGAGGUCCAGCCUGCCCAGUGACCCAGUUCAACGGCCGCGGUAUCCUAACCGUGCGAAGGUAGCGUAAUCACUUGUUUUCUAAAUAAAAACUAGUAUGAAAGGCAUCACGAGAAUUAAACUGUCUCCCUUUUCUAAUCAGUAAACCUAAUCUCCCCGUGAAGAAGCGGGGAUCAUCUAAUAAGACGAGAAGACCCUAUGGAGCUUUAAACAUACUAAUCAUAUGACCUACUUUAUCACACCCAGGUGCACAUACUCACACAUAAUGAUUAUAUGUUUUCGGUUGGGGUGACCGCGGAGAAUAAACCAUCCUCCGCGAUGAUAAGGGCCCCCCCCAAACAACAAGCCACAGCUUUAUGUAUCAACAAAUUGACACCAUUGACCCAAUAUAUUGAUUAACGAAC